GCACAAGCAGCGGAGCGUGUGGUUUAAUUCGUUGCUACACGAAGAACCUUACCUGGGUUUGACAUAGCAGUGGUAGGGAAGCGAAAGCGGACGACCCUUCGGGGAGCUGUUACAGGUGUUGCAUGGCUGUCGUCAGCUCGUGUCGUGAGAUGUUCGGUUAAGUCCGCUAACGAGCGCAACCCGCGUUGUGUGUUACAAGUGUCACACAAUACCGCCGGUAUUAAGUCGGAGGAAGGUGCGGAUGACGUCAAGUCAGCAUGACCUUUAUAUCCAGGGCUACACACACGCUACAAUGGUCGGCACAAUAGGUUGCCAAGUCGUGAGACGGAGCCAAUCCUCCAAAGCCGGCCUCAGUUCAGAUUGUAGGCUGCAACUCGCCUGCAUGAAGAUGGAGUUGCUAGUAACCGCAGGUCAGCAAUACUGCGGUGAAUACGUUCCCGGGUCUU
rnacentral:rRNA from 1 species